CUGGACAGUGGCUUGCUCCUUUAGAGCACACACUGGUUUGCACUGCUUCCUGGAAACUACCUCCCUGCUAAUAAGCCUUCCCAGUAAUAAGCCUCCCUGACAAUGCGCCUCCUGACACAUGCUUCCUCAAGUCUGUGCCUCCAAACCCCAUGCCUUGACCAGAGUAGGUGUGCUCAACCUGGUUUAAGGAUUCUCCACUGCCCCUGGUUUGGGAGGAGCUGCUCACGUAAAUAAAGAGGGGAUUUUGCCACCACAAGCAUAAAUACUCACUCUCAGAACAACGAGGCACCACCAGGGAACAAAAGAAAACAACUUUUGAAUAGUUUAA
rnacentral:lncRNA from 1 species